ensembl:miRNA
GGUUUUUCUGUGUAGCCCUGGCUGUCCUGGAACUCACUCUGUAGGCCAGGCUGGCCUCAAACUCAGAAAUCUGCCUGCCUCUGCCUCCCAAGUGCUGGGAUUAAAGGCAUGUGACACCACGCCCGG